rnacentral:rRNA from 1 species
UACGAAGGGGGCUAGCGUUGUUCGGAAUUACUGGGCGUAAAGCGCGCGCAGGCGGUCUUUCAAGUCAGUGGUGAAAGCCUGGAGCUCAACUCCAGAACUGCCAUUGAAACUGGCGAACUAGAAUCUGGCAGAGGGGGGUGGAAUUCCACGUGUAGCAGUGAAAUGCGUAGAGAUGUGGAGGAACACCGAUGGCGAAGGCAGCCCCCUGGGCUGAGAUUGACGCUCAGGCACGAAAGCGUGGGGAGCAAACAGG